rnacentral:ncRNA from 1 species
AUAAGGUUUAUCUCAUGAUAACAGGGAAGUUAAGUGAAAAUCUUACACGGUCACGCCGCUGUAAGGAGGAGCUGUGUUUUAAUAUGCCACUGAGUUUUCGGGAAGGCAAAAUACAGUGAUGAUACCAAGUCAGAAAACCUGCCUUAUAUAUA